rnacentral:lncRNA from 1 species
AAUUAUUCAUUUUCUCCUUCUAUACUUCAUCCCCUUAAGGGAAGCUUAGGCUUCUCAUCCUUUUACUAAUUGGUUUUCCAGUUGUCUGCCACCACCUCUUCUUUAAUUUAGUAACAAUUUUGCAAGUCAAAAUCUCCUACGGAACACCAUAAUACAAGUUUGUGGCCAAGUCUUCAUCACCAUCUUCUUCUUAUUCUUUAAUUAUUCUUAUUCUUAUUAUUCAAGGUGUAUCUACAUAAGCCAUCAUCAUCUAAUUCUUUCUUCUUCUUCUUCUUCUUCUUCUUUUAACUAACCUCCCCAUUACCCUCACUUCCUUUUCUUUCAUCCUCCAAUGGCACAGAGAUGUUACUGAUGACCCCAUCAUCUGUUGGUCAUUCGAUCAUACUCAAUUCUCUGAUAGGUCUCUUUCUCCUUCUCCUUCUAAGCAAACUCAUUAUGAUUGUUCAUCUCCUCUCUUCUCUCAAUCUCAUCACUUUCUUUCCCUUAUUUUCAACACUCCAAAUUUAAUUACUCAUAUCUCAAUCCCAAGGUAUGUGAAGAAGAUCUUGCUUUUGACAUUGACACGGUUUUGAUGAAGACACCAACAUCACCAAAAAGAAG